rnacentral:rRNA from 1 species
AGUGAACGCUGGCGGCAGGCCUAACACAUGCAAGUCGAACGGUAGCACAGAGGAGCUUGCUCCUUGGGUGACGAGUGGCGGACGGGUGAGGAAUACAUCGGAAUCUACCCUGUCGUGGGGGAUAACGUAGGGAAACUUACGCUAAUACCGCAUACGAACUGAGGUUGAAAGCAGGGGGCCGCAAGGCCUUGCGCGAUUGGAUGAGCCGAUGUCCGAUUAGCAAGUUGGUAAGGUAAAGGCUUACCAAGGCGACGAUCGGUAGCUGGUCUGAGGGGAUGAUCAGCCACACUGGAACUGAGACACGGUCCAGACUCCUACGGGAGGCAGCAGUGGGGAAUAUUGGACAAUGGGCGCAAGCCUGAUCCAGCCAUGCCGCGUGUGUGAAGAAGGCCUUCGGGUUGUAAAGCACUUUUGUUGGGAAAGAAAAGCGGUCGGUUAAUACCCGGUCGUACUGACGGUACCCAAAGAAUAAGCACCGGCUAACUUCGUGCCAGCAGCCGCCGUAACAC